UGGACAGAUUAUUGUAUUCGACUGUAUUCACGGCGUGAGACGGGAGAUUACACUAUUUUUAAACGGAAAGUGAAUCAAUUAACAUAAUAGACUCCU
rfam:Nicotiana sylvestris Nsyl_contig22928, whole genome shotgun sequence.